rnacentral:misc_RNA from 1 species
AACUUUCGACAACGGAUCUCUUGGUUCUGGCAUCGAUGAAGAACGCAGCGAAAUGCGAUAAGUAAUGCGAAUUGCAUAAUUCAGUGAGUCAUCGAAUCUUUGAACGCACAUUGCGCCCUGUGGUAUUCCGCAGGGCAUGCCUGUUCGAGCGUCAUUUCAACCCUCAAGCUCUGCUUGGUGUUGGGCCCUGCCCGCGCGGCCGGCCCCAAAGACAGUGGCGGCGCCGUCUGGCUCUAAGCGUAGUACAACUCUCGCUCUAGGGUCCGGUGGUGUCUUGCCAGAACCCCCCAACUUCUAUGGUUGACCUCGGAUCAGGUAGGGAUACCCGCUGAACUUAAGCAUAUCAAUAAGCGGAGGCU